CACGUAGGGCGCAAGCGUUGUCCGGAAUUAUUGGGCGUAAAGAGCUCGUAGGCGGUCUGUUGCGUCCGCUGUGAAAACUCGGGGCUUAACCCCGAGCCUGCAGUGGAUACGGGCAGACUAGAGGUAGGUAGGGGAGAAUGGAAUUCCCGGUGUAGCGGUGAAAUGCGCAGAUAGUCGGGAGGAACGACCGGUGGCGAAGGCGGUUCUCUGGGCCUUACCUGGACGCUGA
rnacentral:rRNA from 1 species